rnacentral:rRNA from 1 species
GAUGAACGCUGGCGGCGUGCCUAAUACAUGCAAGUCGAGCGAACGGACGAGAAGCUUGCUUUUCUGAUGUUAGCGGCGGACUGGUGAGUAACACGUGGAUAACCUACCUAUAAGACUGGGAUAACUUCGGGAAACCGGAGCUAAUACCGGAUAAUAUUUUGAACCGCAUGGUUCAAAAGUGAAAGACGGUCUUGCUGUCACUUAUAGAUGGAUCCGCGCUGCAUUAGCUAGUUGGUAAGGUAACGGCUUACCAAGGCAACGAUGCAUAGCCGACCUGAGAGGGUGAUCGGCCACACUGGAACUGAGACACGGUCCAGACUCCUACGGGAGGCAGCAGUAGGGAAUCUUCCGCAAUGGGCGAAAGCCUGACGGAGCAACGCCGCGUGAGUGAUGAAGGUCUUCGGAUCGUAAAACUCUGUUAUUAGGGAAGAACAUAUGUGUAAGUAACUGUGCACAUCUUGACGGUACCUAAUCAGAAAGCCACGGCUAACUACGUG